GUCCCCGUCCGUGCUCCUGUCCAGCCCCUGCCCCUGUCCUGUCCCGCGGGAUGUGCCCAGGCGCGGGCACGGCUCUUGCAGAGCCCCGGGCUGUUUGUGCCUGCCAGGUGAGCUGGGCCGAUCCUGCUGCUCGGGAUGGCCUCUCCCGGCAGGCUGGCAUCCCAGGCGGCUGGCUGCCUCGGGUUGGAGGCUACAGCGUGGUUUUGGUCAGACGAGGCACAGACAAGACUGUCAAACCCUGCCUGGGAAUCCUGCGCCCUUCCUCCUUUCCACAUGCCCUUUUUAAACUCGGUGCUGCCAGAUUCCCCUGGACACCAGGUGCUGGAACAAAACACGUUGGCUCUGCAGCCUUUCUGGCAAAAAAUGGAACAAUCUAUUUCUUUGCCAGCUGACAAGCCUGGGAAGCCAAGAAACCAACUGAGCAGUUGGCCUGAUGCCAAGGGAGCUAGAUAGCCAGUCAGCUGAGCUAUAGUGAGAAACCAGCUUGGCCAGCAAUCACAGCCAGAUCACAGCUAAAACUUCUGUAGAAAGUUUUGAUGGAACCAGGACAAUUCAGAAUGUUCAGUGCCAGUCUGCUCAAUUAGAAGAUGGUUAAACAAACCCUCUUAGUAACUGACUACUGUUGGGAAAGGAUGUAACUGUACUGCACUUUGUGUUCUUUAUGGAUUUCUUCAGCUUUUGCCUUAUGAGUUAUGCACACAUUUAUUGCUACUAUGAGCUGAUUAAAUUAAUGAAUUUUCCUUAAGGAUUAAUGAUGACACCCAAGCCUAUGAGGGAGUUUUCAGAGUGUCUUUCAUUGCUAGUUUUGUAAUGAUCAUUCAAAUAACAUUGCGUGCCAGCAGUACCUCAUAGUAUCUGCUCGUGUAUGUCUGCCUACUAACCAGAAGGUACAGUUACUGCAGGCUACACUGAGAGACUGAAAUAAACACUUCUGUCUGCUAUCAGAUAACACACUAUCUCAUUGUCUUCAGCCCAUAUUUGUGAAUGAAUUUAGGUUAAGAUGAACUUGCCAAAAAUGCAAUAAUGAGGGAAAUACCUCUUCUGAACUAGGGAAAAAGUACUGAUCUUUCCUGGGUAGUUGGUAAUGUUAAGGUCAACACCGAUAUGGAGAGCUCCCUUUUUUGUCGGAACUGACUAUGCUCAAGUGCUGUUUGCUGAAUGUAACCUUAAACAUUAUUGCAGAAUUCUUGCAAUGCUCCAGUUACUUUUCCCUUUUGGUGUAUUUUUGGAAAGAUAUCAGACAAGUUUGUAACAAAAAUUACAUUUUUGUCUUCCCACAGCUUACAGUUAUGCUAUCAUCAUAAAAGGUAUCAGCUGCUUUUUUCAAAUGUUUAGAUAAUUUCUAUUGUAGGAUAAAUCUUAUAAUUUCUUAAAUCUGCAGAUGCUGUACACCCUAUACACUUCUCUUGUUUGUUUCCGACUAGUUGCUGCAUGUGAUUCCUUCUUAAAGCCCAGAUCUGUCAUACACCAUCAUCACUACAACUGUGAUAACUCCAGGGAACAAUGAAUUUCCUUGUAAAUGUUUAAUGGUAAUUAAAUUUUCUACAACUGCAUUUAUUUAAGUAGUCUCUAGUAUUCCUGCUGUGAAAUCAGAGGAAAAACAGAUGCUUUACUGAGAUGCAUUUCAGAUCUUGUUCCUUCCACAUAUAAAUAAAUCUGACUUAUUUUCUCUCUCAAAUUCAACUACUGCGGAGAUGCUACAGCAUCUGGAUUCCAAGUGGAUUUAUGUCAGUUGUUUGCUUUUCAUUGACCUUUAUAUUCUCUAAGCAUGGCACAGUUUAUUGCUGUUUUUACAGAGUUUAUUCUUGAAUGGAAAUCGUUUGCACAGCAAGUAUUUUCCCACAAUGACAAUAGUUUAUUGUAAUGUUUAUGGUGUAUUUUCUUCUUCAUUUCUGCUGGACUUGCUACACAGUUUUCUGUGCACUGCUGCAACAUAUCUUGAAAUGUGCUCUUCAUCCCAAAUGAAGUAACUUGAGCAUAUGUUUAAGGUUUAAGUCAGUCUCAAUAUGAUCAUUUGGCUUGCCUGGUUUUAUAUUCCACACACAGAUAACUGCUGCCGUGUGUCAUUUAAGUCUUUCUGAUUCUUGAUUUCCUCAGUAUUGCCACAUACUCAGAGAUUAUUUCAGUUCCCCUCUGAUUCCGUCUAUAACAUAAAUGCUCUUUAAACAUGAGAACACUUUAAUUAGUGUUAUUUUCUUUUUCCAUCAAAAUAUUGACUGGAAACUACCAAAUCCUUAUAUGUCUUGGUGAUAACUUUUCAACAAAAUUUGAGUAUUAAUAGCUUCUCCCAAACUUCCUUUUUAGUUUUCUCUCAAAAAAAAAGAAAAAACAAAAAACUAUGAGUGACAAGGAAACAAUCAUCUGUACACUCCUUCCCAAGGACUUCUUUUCAACUCACUGUUCAAAGACAGAAAAUCUUGGCCAAAAUGAAAUAAAAAAGAGAAAUACCAAAAAGAAAUCCUGUGAGUUCUUCCCUACCAUCAUAAGAUUUCUGAGUAGCUACCUUCAUGAAAGGCUAUUUCAUUUUCCCAGUGAAAUUUUUCUGGGAAAAUUUCUCAGCUCAGAAAUGUUAGAGGGCCUAUGUUACAGGCCCAACUGAGAACCAGAUAAAUUUAAUUUUAAACUAAAAGUUAAACCACAUAAGCCAAUCAGAGCAAAAAUGUGGAAUGUGAACAAUAUCUGAAAUGCAUUUCCAGAACACAUCCAGUUUAGCUGAAGUGUUGUGAGUGAUGAUUAGGUCAUGAACUCCUGAUGUAUGGAGUCUGUUGGGUCAGGGUGGUGGAAUGGGAUGGGAUGGGUAGAGUAGUGAUAAACUAUGCCUGAGUCUAAAUAGGAAUGAUUUUUUUUAGAAGUUGGCAUCUAGAGAUAUGUGGAUAAUGAUCACAAUAAUGUCUAUAAUGUUCUAUUAUUAAGUCAAGGGGCAGCUUGAAAAAAACCCAACAAAACAGCCUGGCACCAGAAGCAACUCCAUGACUUUGUUUUGACCAGUAAGACAACAGAUCUAAACUUCUAAAAACAAGCCUUCAUCUUUCUUUGUUGCAAAAAUGUGACAUGGUGUUAUCAUUAGUUACAGCUCACUUGAUUGUGAGAGUAAAUUGAGUUUUUCAAGACUUGAAAUGUAGCUUAAAAUUAUGCAUCUUGGUAACAUCAUGUUUUACUGGAUACUUUAGGCCACAUACCAUAGAGGUAUUAGUUAUUCAUGUAAUUAAUUAAUGAAGAAAAAUUAAUUUUUAACUUUGUUGAAAGGUGGCCACUUAUGCUUUAAAGCUGUGGAAAUAUAUAUAUUUGUAUAUUUAUAAAUAUAUAAAAUCAAAACAUAUUUUAUUAGUCAAAAAGGAAAUAAUCCAUUGUCUGCUUGCUUAGUUGCAAGAAACUGCAUUAGGAAUAUUUGAAAAAGUAAUAAAAGUGUUUUAAAACCAAGUUA